CCUGGUGGAACAACAGUUAAGUGCUUGGUUGCAAACCAAAAGGUUGGUGGUUCGAACCCACCCAGCAGCU
rnacentral:tRNA from 1 species